AAUAAUUUCAGAUUUCUAGCAAAAUUGCAGGAACAGUAAGAAAAUUCACAAUAUCCUUCACCCAGUUUCCCCUUAUGUUCACAGCAUUUGCAUAACCGCUGUGCAUUUGUCAAAACUAACACUUGGUACAAUACCGAUAUCUAAUUUCAGAUUUGUUUUGGAUUUUGUAACUUUUUCCACUAAUUUUUUUUCUCGUUCCAGGAUCUAAUCCAAGAUCCCACAUUACACUUAGUGCAUUGUUUUUGUUAGAUUAACACGGAGGUUGCCCUGUAGGGUCGUGGUGGUUGGGAAAAGAAUGUGGAUUUGGGGGAGUAGCCAGAACGAAGUCCUUCGGUGUGGCCUGUGUGGCACCCGGGGUGGGUCAUCGGGGGACACUUGGCCUCCCUGACCCCAGCUGGGUGCCGCGAAGUGCCUUCCACUGCCUCAGCUCCACCCGUGCAGAGCACAGAUGUUUGUUGGCAGGUUUUAAUCAUUGGCUGGCCAAGUGCUGGCGCAGGUCCGUGGAGAGACUGCAUUUCCCUUUCUGCAAAAGCCAUUUUCAGCAACGCUGUAGCUUGUGUGUAAGCUUCUGGAAGGUUCAGCUCCAGGUGCCCCCAGGGCAGGGAGUGGGAGGGGUGCUGGGCGCCCAGCACCUGGCACUCCACACCCUCCUACUGGUUUCCCAGUUUGUCCUGCGUGAGUCUGGGGUGGGUGACUGGUGGCUCUGCCCAUCCCCUCCUGCCCCUUGUCCCUGGAGCUGGAAGGGCGCUGGGCGUGGAGAGCAGUGGCGGCGAAGAGAAAGAGCAGGGACCUGCUGUAGUACCACUCACAUCCUGGACUCAUCAGCACCCAGUACAGUGCCUGGCACACCGUAGGUGCUCAUUAAAUGCUUAUUGCUUAGAAUUGAGGUGAGCUACGUCUUUGGAAGCCUCGAGUUCUCAAAGAACAGCUCUGGCCCUGCCCUUGGGAGGAAGCCUCCAGCUGAGAGGGUCCCCAGGUCUCCGGUUGGUGCUCCAGAGCAGGGAUGCCCAGGGUAGGGCUCUGCCCAGCACCUGACGGCCACCCCACCCUCCGGUGGUUCUGCCAGACCGCAUGCUCCGCCUUCUGCAAACGGCCGCGGGGGCAGCAGCUUGGGUAAGUUCCCCUUCCGCUUCCUCCUGCCUCCUGUCCCGCUGCUGCUGCUGCUCCUCGCUCAGGGCCCCCCUCCAGGCUCUCCACAGCCCCGGUGCCUGCAGAAGCGCUCCGCGCCCCCAGCUGUCACCACCACCGCCCCCCAGGCCUCAGACGCCAUGCAGGCCAUCAAGUGUGUGGUGGUGGGAGAUGGGUAGGUACCUGGUGGGACUUGCUCCCAGCUCCCUCCUGGGGGAGCCCUGAGGCCCU
rnacentral:lncRNA from 1 species